AACUGUUGACCCACUGGCAGCAUGGCACCAGUUUGCAACUUCAACUGUAGAGAGCUGAAGUGUGGGCUUGUUAGUGGUGGAUCCGUACAGGUCUGAAGCAACUUGAUUCUUGCCUCCUUGAAGGAAAGAAUUUGUCUAAGGGGCAUAAGGCAGAGUGAGAGACCAAGGGAGUUGGUCUCUCAGUCCAUGGGCAAUUUCGAGUGGCUACAGAAAAGUGUCUUUUUGCUAUGCCAGAAACUGCAAUAGAGUUACUUGUCGAUUUCAACAAAAAAGCCUGCAGAUGAAUUUAGAGAGAAUUGACAUCUUAACACUAUCGAGUCUUUUCAGACCUGUGGGCAAGAUAUAAUUCUUCAUUUAUGACUGUUCCCUGAUGUGGGUGGAGGUUAUUUCUUGCCACGACUCCAAGGAAAACUUGGUUACUUCCUUG
rnacentral:lncRNA from 1 species